ACACGAGCUGCGGGACAGUGAGAGGAACACACUGGUAGAAGAGCACACAGGCAGCUGGAUGUCGAGAGGAGCGGAAGAGCACAGCGACAGGCACUGGUGUCGACCAGCGGAACGACGUGGAGUUUGGCCUGGGAGGUCAGAGAAGAAUUUGGCUGCUGGGCAGCCCCACUAUAGGGGAAAACCACCUUCCCACUCCAUUCCCCUUCUGAUCUCCCCAUCCACCUCGCUGAGAGCUACCACAACUCAAUAAAAAACCUAGCACUCGAUCUCCAAGCCCACAUGUGAUCCAAUUUUUCCCGUGCACUAAAGCAAGAACCUGGGAUACAGAAAGCCGUCUGUCCUUGUGAUAAGGCAGAGGGUCUAAUUGAGCUGAUUAACACAAGCCACCUGCGGACAGCUAAGCUGAAAAAGCAUCCUGUAACACACGCCCACUGGGGCCUCAGGAGGUGUAAACAUUCACCCCGAGAGGCUGCAUGGGUCCGCGCCCAUGGUCCCCAUGACUUGCCUGUUUGCCUGCUCUGGCUAAGGGUCUUGACCAGUGGGGCACUGAAGAAGCGAGCCACACCUCCAUCGUACGCCCUGCGAGGAGGAAAUUGCCACAGUCACCUCAACCUUCAGCAACCACCAACUUGAUCAAUCAGCAGCCAAUAACGUGAAGUCAUGACCAUUCACCAGCAAAAAGUUUAUGAUUCACCAAAAUAUUAGAUGAUCAUUAACAUUUUUAGCAAUAAUGUAUUUGUCAUUAAGGUGUUAGUGCAUUGGAAAAUCAUUUAAAGAAUGUAUCAGCUAAUUGAAGGCUUAUGUGAUCAUUCAAAGAUAAGCUACCUGAUGAAAAAAUAAAGGUUAAUGCAAUUCAACAACAAAAUUAAUGCUGCAAACAUCUCUCUUCUAUUUUAGACAUUCUUCUAACUGCUGGAACUAAUAAGAUAUGAAUGAUGAAGCUUAUAUUCUUCUAGGAAUGAUAUAUACUUCACACAAAUAUAAAUAAAAAGCCUAGAUAAUUACAAAUAAGUUAUAUGAAUGAAGUUGACAGUAACUGAAAGAAGUCCGUUUAAAUAUGGUUGUCGGAAAGCCUCUACAGAAGGUGCCAUCUAAACACAGAUCCAAGGGAUACCGGUAGACUAGCUGUACUAAGAACCAUGGAGAGAGCGUUCUAGAGUGUACAUGUUCAGAGGCCGAAUAGAAUGAAUGAGUUAGACACAUCUGGGAAACGAAAAAGAAGCCAAUGUGAAUGGAAAACAAGGACCGUUACUGUAGGCCAUGAAAACAUUUUCUCUUUCUCUCCCCCUCUCUCUGUUUUUUGUUUGUUUGUUUGUUUGUUUGUUUUGGUUUGGUUUGGUUUUUUUUUUUUUGAGACGGAGUCUCGCUGUGUUGCCCAGGCUGGAGUGCAGUGGCGCGAUCUCGGCUCACUGCAAGCUCCGCCUCCCGGGUUCAUGCCAGUCUCCUGCCUCAACCUCCCGAGUAGCUGGGACUACAGGCGCCGCCACCACGCCCGGAUAAUUUUUGUAUUUUUAGUAGAGACGGGGUUUCACCAUGUUGGCCAGGCUUGUGUGGAACCCUGACUUCAGGUGAUCCGUCCGCCUCGGCCUCCCAAAGUGCUGGGACUACAGGCGCCCGCCACCACGCCCGGCUAAUUUUUUUGUAUUUUUAGUAGAGACGGGGUUUCACCAUGUUAGCCAGGAUAGUCUCGAUCUCCUGACCUUGUGAUCCGCCCGCCUCGGCCUCCCAAAGUGCUGGGAUUACAGGCGUGAGCCAUUGUGCCAAGACUCUUUCUCUCUUUUUUUUUUUUUUUCCUUUCUUCCCUAAGCACAGUGGUAGCCAUUAGAGCAUCUGAGAAGGGAUGUGGGCAAGCCUGGUUUUAAUUCUAAAGUUCCCUUCGGUUAAUUUGUGACAAACUGGAUUGUGAAUGUGUUUCCAUGUAUCGUGGGAAGGAGAAUAUAGAGGUGGGAGUGAAUAGCAAAAAUACACAUAAGAAGACUCUUUAUGAAGUUUUUUGGAUUAUCUGUAAAUAUACACUAUCACAACACUGAAAAUUUAUGCUGAAACUUUCAUUCCAAUCUAUUUUAUUUUUAUUUUUAUUUUUUCUUUUUUUUCCACUUCAAAUGAAUGAGCCUAUUGUGAAUUCUUUUGAAAGGCUUUGUAUUUUUGUCUCUGUGAUACUUCGUGGCUUCAUAUUUGUUUACUUUUACUAUUUGGUUGUUUAGUUAUAUGUAUUUUGUUCCACUAAAAUGUCCCAUUCCGAACAGGUAUGCCUUCUGAACAAUUAAUGCAGUGCACCUAAUGUACAUCAAUCAAAUUGCUAACCGAUGAUGUUUCUCAAGGGUAUUUGUUCCUUGGUAGUUGUCAGAAAUAUAAAUGGUAUAUUUCAGUAUAUAUCACAGUAUACAUUUUCUCAUGUAAUCCCCACAAUAACUCAGCAAAGUGUGGCUUAUUAUCACUUCAACAGAAGAGUCAGAAAGUUUAAGCUACUGCAUCUGGGUAACUAUGCAAAGCCGUAGAGAAGAGUGGAAAAGACACACAAUUCAGAUUUGAAAUAUUUUUUUUCAGUUCUUUGCUGUUCACUUUAUUACAUCAACAUACAAAUAAUAAUAUAUAAAUGGAUUUGUCUUACAAUUGUAUUUUCAGGUUAUAUAUUUAGAACCUGCUCAUUAAUGUUUGUGUUCAUGUGAAAUAAAUUUUGAAACCAUA